rnacentral:rRNA from 1 species
AUUGAACGCUGGCGGCAGGCCUAACACAUGCAAGUCGAGCGGAGCGGCGGACGGGUGAGUAAUGCCUAGGAAUCUGCCUGGUAGUGGGGGAUAACGUCCGGAAACGGGCGCUAAUACCGCAUACUAUCAGAUGAGCCUAGGUCGGAUUAGCUAUGUGGUGGGGUAAAGGCCUACCAAGGCGACGAUCCGUAACUUGUCUGCGAGGGUGACCGGCCACAGUGGGACUGAGAUACGGCCCAGACGCCUACGGGAGGCAGCAGUGGGGGAUAUUGGCCAAUGGGCGAAAGCCUGCUCCAGCCAUGCCGCGUGUGUGAAGAAGGUCUUCGGAUUGUAAAGCACUUUAAGUUGGGAGGCGUUACCAACAGAAUAAGCACCGGCUAACUUCGUGCCAGCAGCCGCGGUAAUUC